rnacentral:rRNA from 1 species
CAGCAGCCGCGGGAAUACAGAGGGUGCAAGCGUUAAUCGGAAUUACUGGGCGUAAAGCGCGCGUAGGUGGUUUGUUAAGUUGGAUGUGAAAGCCCCGGGCUCAACCUGGGAACUGCAUCCAAAACUGGCAAGCUAGAGUACGGUAGAGGGUGGUGGAAUUUCCUGUGUAGCGGUGAAAUGCGUAGAUAUAGGAAGGAACACCAGUGGCGAAGGCGACCACCUGGACUGAUACUGACACUGAGGUGCGAAAGCGUGGGGAGCAAACAGGAUUAGAUACCCCUGUAGUCCCUGUCUCUUAUAA